rnacentral:rRNA from 1 species
UACGAAGGGUGCAAGCGUUGCUCGGAAUUAUUGGGCGUAAAGGGUAGGUAGGUGGUGAUAUUUGUCUGGGGUGAAAUCCCUGAGCUUAACUCAGGACGUGCCUUGGAAACGGUAUCACUAGAGUGCUGGAGAGGUUUGCAGAAUUCCUGGUGUAGCGGUGAAAUGCGUAGAGAUCAGGAGGAAUACCAGAGGCGAAGGCGGCAAACUGGACAGCAACUGACACUCAACUACGAAAGCGUGGGGAGCAAACAGG